AACUAAUCUAUGAUGAUAGAAAUCAAGCAUUGGAAUAACCACUUUGUGUGCAUUCUCUGAUGUAAUGAUCAACUGCUGGGAGGUGGUGCACCCCGCACAGGUGGCAUACUACGCCAAGCAGACACAGCGCUCUCUACUGCUUAUCCUGGACCUGGCUUCAAAAUCCUCUCAACACAGUGCUCUGGAGAACUACUAGUCAAAGAUCAGAGCAGGCAUGGCUUUAAACCUUUCUUCAGGAAGAGAAGAUUCAUGGGGCUUAUUGAAGGAAGCUAGAAGAACCCAAGGUAGAGACUGCUAAUACUGACCAAUAUAUCCAAAUCAGCCUCUUCCUCGGCAUCUUGUCCUGCCUCCCUUGCAGUUAGAUGAGGCCACAUGAUUGAGUUCUGGCCGAUGAACCAUCAGUGGAAGUGGGCAAUCCUUUUCUUUCCCUAUCUUCUGAGUGACUGGAGACUUUGAAGAGCUAGGGGGACAUCAGUCACAGGAUGGAUGGAAGUUGGCCUUCUGAAGGGCUGAAUGGAGUAGCACCUCCCCGAGAGCCCACCAACCUACCCCCUGCUUUGAAGUAUAAUUUGAGAAAUGUGGGUCUAUGAGGCCACUGAGAUGGGGAGCUAUUUGUUCAACAGUUCAUCUGCACACACCAAUAAAGGCUGACU